GAAUCCCGUCUUUGGCAUGGAUGACCGGGGCUUUUGUGAUGCGCUCUCGAAGAGUCGAGUUGUUUGGGAAUGCAGCUCAAAAUGGGUGGUGAACUCCAUCUAAAGCUAAAUAUUGGCGAGAGACCGAUAGCGAACAAGUACCGUGAGGGAAAGAUGAAAAGCACUUUGGAAAGAGAGUGAAACAGUACGUGAAAUUGUUGAAAGGGAAACGCUUGAAGUCAGUCGCGUCGGCCGAGACUCAGCCUUGCCUCGGCUUGGUGUACUUCUUGACCGACGGGUCAGCAUCAAUUUUGCCCCUUGGAUAAUGGCGAGGGAAAUGUGACACCUUUAUAGGUGUGUUAUAGUCUCUCGUCGCAUGCAAGGGUCGGGAUUGAGGAACUCAGCACGCGCCUUCGGGCGUCGGGGCCUUGCCCACGAUACGUGCUUAGGAUGUUGGCGUAAUGGCUUUAAACGACCCGUCUUGAAACACGGACCAAGGAGUCUAACAUGCCCGCGAGUGUUCGGGUGGAAAACCCGUGCGCGCAAUGAAAGUGAAAGUUGAGAACUCUUAGAGUGCAUCGACGCCCGGAGCAGACCUUUUGUGACGCAUCCGCGGUAGAGCAUGUAUGUUGGGACCCGAAAGAUGGUGAACUAUGCCUGAAUAGGGUGAAGCCAGAGGAAACUCUGGUGGAGGCUCGUAGCGAUUCUGACGUGCAAAUCGAUCGUCAAAUUUGGGUAUAGGGGCGAAAGACUAAUCGAACCAUCUAGUAGCUGGUUCCUGCC
rnacentral:rRNA from 1 species